AGUAACUUCAGAGAAGUAUAGCUUGCAGCUGAAGUGAAAAGCAAGAAGGUUUGAGUCUUAUGAACACUUUCAUUGAGUCUGGUCUCAAAGAAGCUAAAGGUACUAACAGACCCUGGAAUGCCCUGAGAGUUUCUGUGAGCCAGGAAUAAUUGCCCGUUGCUGACUUGCCUGAUGCCAUGAUAUUUUGAAGUGUAAGAAAGUUUAUUCAUAUGGAUGCAAGUUCUGCAGAUCCAAAUCACUUCAAGAGAAGAGAACUGCUUUCUCUGGCCAGUGUUUUUACCUUUUCCUGUUAGAUGGAUGUUAUAUAGCUCACACUUGUGUAAUCGUAUUUUUCUAUAUUCAGCAGUGACUUAAGCAUUCUUUUAUAUAGAUACAUAUUUAUAUGUAAAUGACAGAGGGAAUAAAACAAACUCAAAUCUU